rnacentral:rRNA from 1 species
AAUACUCUUGGUCAUUUAGAGGAAGUAAAAGUCGUAACAAGGUUUCCGUAGGUGAACCUGCGGAAGGAUCAUUAGUGAUUUUGAAAUGUUACUUUUUGUGCUGGCCUCUCCGGCAUGUGCACAUUGGUGACUUUCAUCCAACACCCAUUUGUGAACCUCUUGGCCUUGCGUCGGUUUCGGCUGGCGGAAGGAUUUUACACAUACUCCGAAUGUAAUGAAAAUAUUAUUGUGCACAAGCACUAAUGUACAACUUUCAACAACGGAUCUCUUGGCUCUCGCAUCGAUGAAGAACGCAGCGAAAUGCGAUAAGUAAUGUGAAUUGCAGAAUUCAGUGAAUCAUCGAAUCUUUGAACGCACCUUGCACCCUUUGGUAUUCCGAAGGGUAUGCUCGUUUGAGUGUCAUUGUACUCUCACACUCUCCGAUUUUAGAUCGGGAGUAGUGGACUUGGAUGUUGCUGCUUUGUUGUCAGGCUCAUCUCAAAUGUCUUAGUGCAACUCUGCUUGGACAUAGUACAGCGUGAUAAGUAUCUUCGCUGGCCUCUCACAAGAGAAUGUCCAAUUCGGAGCUCUGUGCUUCAAAUUGUCCUUUGGACUAUCUUUGACAACUUGACCUCAAAUCGAGUAGGACUACCCGCUGAACUUAAGCAUAUCAAUAAACGGAGGAAAAGAAACUAACAAGGAUUCCCUUAGUAACGGCGAGUGAAGAGGGAUGAGCUCAAAUUUUGAAUCUGGCGUCUUUGGCGUCCGAGUUGUAAUCUAGAGAAGUGUUUUCUGUGGCGGACCGUGCACAAGUCUCCUGGAAUGGAACAUCAUAGAGGGUGAGAAUCCCGUAUAUGGCAUGGACUCCCGCUGCUCUGUGAUACACUCUCCACGAGUCGAGUUGUUUGGGAAUGCAGCUCCAAAUGGGUGGUAAAUGCCAUCUAAAGCUAAUAUUGGCGAGAGACCGAUAGUGAACAAGUACCGUGAGGCAAGAU